CCUCCCUUCCCGCCCCGUUCACCUCCCUCUACUACAGGCUCCAGUCUCAUUCCAGUUUCUCUGAAGCCUUCAUUUAGAAUAGAUAAACUUUUAUUGGUCAUCCUGUCGUGUUUCUCUUCGUGUGUCUUCAUCUGGACCGGAGCUGGUAAUCAGACGGCAGCAGGUUGAGCUGGACGCCGUCUGUCUCUGUUCUGUGUUUAUCGCCUGAUCGCUGUGAGGAUGGAGAGAAAGAAGAGAAGAUGACAGAGGAAGAAUCAGGGAAUCAGCGGAGAAUGCCACAGACAAGGGGUUAAGGAGACAGACAUGAGGUCAGUGAUAGAAGAGACAAGUGAUGACAUCAGUGCAGGCAGACUUGGUGAGUCAACCACCACAAAGGAGAAUGCGGAACAGAAAGGUGCAGAUGAGGGAGAGAAGCAGAGAGGACCAGAUGAUGAUGAAGAGGAGCAGACAGCUGCAGAGGAGAGGGCUGAGGCAAGGCUUUAUUCAGAAGAUCCAUCUGAAUGGCCUUUACCACACAAAACGGGGGACACAUUUAGGCAGUACAUGCUUGAAAGUGGCCCACAGGAAGUUUCUGAUGGUCCAUAUCCAAGAUCAGAGAAGAGUAAGAGCUGGGAUUUUCCAGUGUGUUUUCCUCCUUGGUGGUGGCAUCCAGUGCUGUCUAAGGCAUUACAUUCUCUGUCUAUAUAGCGCCCUCUAUGGCAAUGGAGGAAUCCUGUUUCCUGUGUGACGUGACCUUUUCAAUCUGGGUCUUUCACUUUUUAUGCAACUUUUUAAGCUGGCUUAUAAUUCGCUUUAAAUAAACUUUGUAAGUAAGGAUGGAA